UGCACCUACGGGAGGCAGCAGUCGGGAAUAUUGCGCAAUGGAGGAAACUCUGACGCAGUGACGCCGCGUAUAGGAAGAAGGUUUUCGGAUUGUAAACUAUUGUCGUUAGGGAAGAAAUUGACAGUACCUAAGGAGGAAGCUCCGGCUAACUAUGUGCCAGCAGCCGCGUUAAUACAUAGGGAGCAAGCUUUAUCCGGAAUUAUUGGGUGUAAAGGGUGCGUAGACGGGAGAUUAAGUUAGUUGU
rnacentral:rRNA from 1 species